rnacentral:rRNA from 1 species
GGAAGAAGCGAAAGUGACGGUACCUGCAGAAAAAGCGCCGGCUAACUACGUGCCAGCAGCCGCGGUAAUACGUAGGGCGCAAGCGUUAUCCGGAAUUAUUGGGCGUAAAGAGCUCGUAGGCGGUUUGUCGCGUCUGCUGUGAAAUCCCGAGGCUCAACCUCGGGCCUGCAGUGGGUACGGGCAGACUAGAGUGCGGUAGGGGAGAUUGGAAUUCCUGGUGUAGCGGUGGAAUGCGCAGAUAUCAGGAGGAACACCGAUGGCGAAGGCAGAUCUCUGGGCCGUAACUGACGCUGAGGAGCGAAAGGGUGGGGAGCAAACAGGCUUAGAUACCCUGGUAGUCCACCCCGUAAACGUUGGGAACUAGUUGUGGGGUCCAUUCCACGGAUUCCGUGACGCAGCUAACGCAUUAAGUUCCCCGCCUGGGGAGUACGGCCGCAAGGCUAAAACUCAAAGGAAUUGACGGGGACCCGCACAAGCGGCGGAGCAUGCGGAUUAAUUCGAUGCAACGCGAAGAACCUUACCAAGGCUUGACAUAUACGAGAACGGGCCAGAAAUGGUCAACUCUUUGGACACUCGUAAACAGGUGGUGCAUGGUUGUCGUCAGCUCGUGUCGUGAGAUGUUGGGUUAAGUCCCGCAACGAGCGCAACCCUCGUUCUAUGUUGCCAGCACGUAAUGGUGGGAACUCAUGGGAUACUGCCGGGGUCAACUCGGAGGAAGGUGGGGAUGACGUCAAAUCAUCAUGCCCCUUAUGUCUUGGGCUUCACGCAUGCUACAAUGGCCGGUACAAAGGGCUGCAAUACCGUGAGGUGGAGCGAAUCCCAAAAAGCCGGUCCCAGUUCGGAUUGAGGUCUGCAACUCGACCUCAUGAAGUCGGAGUCGCUAGUAAUCGCAGAUCAGCAACGCUGCGGUGAAUACGUUCCCGGGUCUUGUACACACCGCCCGUCAAGUCAUGAAAGUCGGUAACACCUGAAGCCGGUGGCCUAACCCUUGUGGAGGGAGCUGUCGAAG